GGUGCCAUAGCUCAGUUGGUAGAGCAACGGACUGAAAAUCCGUGUGUCCCUAGUUCGAUUAUUGGUGGCACCA
rnacentral:tRNA from 1 species